ensembl:lncRNA
UUCUCUCUGUUCUCUCUGUCUCUCUGUUCUCUGUCUCUCUAUUCUCUCUGUCUCUCUGUUCUCUCUGUCUCUCUAUUCUCUGUCUCUCUGUCUCUCUGUUCUCUCUGUCUAUCUAUUCUCUCUCUCGCUCUCUAUUCUCUCUCUCUAUUCUCUCUGUCUCUCUGUUCUCUCUGUCUCUCUGUUCUCUCUGUCUCUCUAUUCUCUCUGUCUCUCUGUUCUCUCUGUCUCUCUAUUCUCUCUGUCUCUCUCCCUACGACAGUAGUGGCUGUAGGAUGCAAUUACUUAACGUUGUUCAUUGUGGUUUUAAUAUCUAUGAUUUCCCAGCUAUGUUUACCUGACUAGCUGAGCCGUGUACAGGAUAUACUGGAGGUCAAAAGGACUCUAUGGACACCUCUUCUGCACAUCUUACAACUACCGGUAUGCAACAUUGAAGGAAAAAAAUUGCCGACAAAUGCAUAUGCAUACACAGCUGCUCUAGGUUGACCCACUACUGUGAAAAUUAAGACCUUGCUAGAUUAUUUUUCAAAUAAUAUUUAUGACUUGUAUAUAGUUUACUUUACAUACAUACACACACAUACAUAUGAAGGUGGAAUUGUGGUUUACACUAAUCUGAGUAACGAAACAACACCAGUAAAAUAUAAAUUCUGUUUUUUUUUCAGCAAGUUUGAAAUUUAAUGAACAUAAACAAGUACAUAAGCUGCUAUUUCCAUCAUUUGUAAAAAGCCCCCCCCCCAAAAAAAAAGCUCCAGUAAUUUGCAAAAUAAAGAAAAAGCCAUAAAAACUCAAACAAAUAAAAAUAUUUGGCCUCCUUGUUGUGGUAAUAUCAACAAUAUAUUCCAUAUGUAUUGUAAUAUAUUACCAUUAAUCCACAUGUCUAUAAGGCACCAAACGCUAAAUGGCACAAUCAUAGAAUAACUUUAUUCACUAUAAUUGUGCAGAAAAUACAAAGACAUCCAGAUCAACAGAAACACUCAAUCACAAAUUGGAUCAAAGGAAAUAUACUGCCGACCAUUAUAUUGUGUUGUUUAUUGGUCUCCAUUCAACUGAUUUAGGUUUUUCUGUCAAAAUGUGGGGAAACUGUAGAUUUCUGUAAAACUUUUGAGUUCCUUCUGAAUUGACAGUCAUGAGCUGUCAUCACUUGGUGUUCUCGAUUAUGCCUCCAGUUCAACAAUAUGCUCCUCCUUCUUUCCUGAGAUCAAAUCAAAUCAAAUCAAAUUUUAUUUGUCACAUACACAUGGUUAGCAUGAGAUUCAGGAAACUGUGUUACCGUAGCUGAAAUACAAACGCGAUCAUGAAUCUAAAUGAAUAAUGAAUGGAUUAGGCAUCAAAUUAUAAUCCCAUCAUUCAUAAAUAGUAACUAUUUUUUCAGUACAUCAUUUCUCAUCCAUUAACACAACAGGCAUAUUUAAAAAAAUCUGAAGUAAAAAAAAAAAAAAAAAAUCUUUGACAAUGUUUGGUAUAUGAAUGUGUUUCAAGUGUAAAUAUAGCAGAUGUAACAAUCCGUUCUCAACACUGUUGUUAGCAUGAUAUAACAUGUAAUAUCACAAAAUUCAACAUCCACCAGGAUCACAUUACUGUUCUAAGACAGAUAUUGCAAAAAUAGUCAUAUGAAAUCACUGGUCACUGAAUGAUGCAAUAAAACUACAUGCUGCUCAUUUGCCUUCACUGUCUUCUAUGUUUGGGGUGGCAGGUAGCCUAGUGGUUUAAACCAGGUAGCCUAGUGGUUUAAACCAGGUAGCCUAGGGGUUAAGAGCAGGUAGCCUAGUGGUUUAAACCAGGUAGCCUAGGGGUUAAGAGCAGGUAGCCUAGUGGUUUAAACCAGGUAGCCUAGGGGUUAAGAGCAGGUAGCCUAGUGGUUUAAACCAGGUAGCCUAGGGGUUAAGAGCAGGUAGCCUAGUGGUUUAAACCAGGUAGCCUAGUGGUUUAGAGCAGGUAGCCUAGUGGUUUAAACCAGGUAGCCCAGCGGUUAAGAGCAGGUAGCCUAGGGGUUAAGAGCAGGUAGCCUAGGGGUUGAGAGCAGGUAGCCUAGCGGUUAAGAGCAGGUAGCCCAGUGGUUAAGAGCAGGUGGCCUAGUGGUUUAAACCAGGUAGCCAAGCGGUUAAGAGCAGGUAGCCUAGGGGUUAAGAGCAGGUAGCCUAGCGGUUAAGAGCAGGUAGCUUAAUGGUUUGAACCAGGUAGCCUAGCGGUUAAGAGCAGGUAGCCUAGAGGUUAAGAGAAGGAGGCCUAGCGGAUAAGAGCAGGUAGCCUAGCAGUUAAAAAUAGGUAGCCUAGCGGUUAAGAGCAGGUAGCCUGUUGGUUAAAAGCAGGAAGCCUAGCAGUGGGCCGGCAGGUAGCCUAGGGGUUAAGAGCAGGUAGCCUACUGGUUAAGAGCAGGUAGCCUAGAGGUUAAGAGCAGGUAGCCUAGCGGUGGGGCGGCAGGUUGCCUCGCAGUAAAAAGAAGGUAGCCUAGCGGUUAAGAGCAGGUAGCCUAGCAGUUAACAGCAUGUAGCCUAGCGGUUAAGAGCAGGUUGACUAGCGGUUAAGAGCAGGUAGGCUAGUGGUUAAGAGCAGGUAGGCUAGCGGUUAAGAGCAGGUAGGCUAGUGGUUAAGAGCAGGUUGACUAGCGGUUAAGAGCAGGUAGGCUAGUGGUUAAGAGCGGGUAGGCUAUUGGUUAAGAGCAGGUAGGCUAGCGGUUAAGAGCAGGUAGCCUAUUGGUUAAGAGCAGGUAGCCUAGAGGUUAAGAGCAGGUAGGCUAGUGGUUAAGAGCAGGUAGGCUAGUGGUUAAGAGCAGGUAGCCUAAUGGUUAAGAUCAGGUAGGCUAGGGGUUAAUAGCAGGUAGCCUAGCGGUUAACAGUAGGUAGCCUAGCGGAUAAGAGCACUGAGCCUUGCAAUUGAGAGAAGGUAGCCUAGCGCUUAAGAGUAGAUAGCCUGAAGGUUUAGAGAAGGUAGCCUAGCUGUAAAUCAGCAGGUAGCCUAGCGGCUAUGAGCAGGUAGCCUAGGAUUUAAGAUCAGGUAGCCUAUUGGUUAAGAGCAGGUAGCCUAGAGGUUAAGAGCAGGUAGUCUAGGGAUUAAGAGCAAGUAGCCUAGCAUUUAAGAGCAGGUAGUCUAGGUGUUAAGAGCAGGUAGCCUAGCGGUUAAGAGUAGGUAGCCUAGCAUUUAAGAGCCGGUAGCCUAGGUGUUAAGAGUAGGUAGCCUAGCGGUUAAGAGCAGGUAGCCUAGCGGGUAACAGCAGGUAGCCUAGCGGAUAAGAGCCGGUAGCCUAGCAGUUAAGAGCAGGUAGCCUAGUGGUGGGGCGGCAGGUUGCCUAGAGGUUAAGAGCAGGUAGCCUAGCGGUUAAGAGCAGGCAGCCUGAAGGUUUAGAGAAGGUAGCCUAGCGGUUAAGAGUAGGAAGCCUAGCGGAUAAGAGCAGUUAGCCAAGCGGUUAAGAGUAGGUAGCCUAGCGGAUAAGAGCAGUUAGCCAAGCGGUUAAGAGUAGGUAGCCUAGCGGAUAAGAGCAGUUAGCCAAGUGGUUAAGAGUAGGUAGCCUAGCGGAUAAGAGUAGGUAGCCUAGCGGUUAAGAGUAGGUAGCCUAGCGGAUAAGAGCAGUUAGCCAAGCGGUUAAGAGUAGGUAGCCUAGCGGAUAAGAGCAGUUAGCCAAGUGGUUAAGAGUAGGUAGCCUAGCGGUGGGGCGGCAGGUAGCCUAGCAGUUAAGAGUGUUGGGCCAGUAACCGAAAGGUCGCUGGUUUGAAUUACCUGAGCCAACUGGGUGAAUAAUCUGUCGAUGUGCCCUUGAGCAAGGCACUGAAUGUUAACUGCUCCUGUAAGUCACUCUGGAUUAGAGCGUCUGCUAAAUUAUGUAAAUGUAUUUAUUUACCUAUAUUUGUUACAAUAACGUCAAAUAUAUUUAAACUGUAAAAUCAUUAGUGAUGAAAAAAAAUGACCUGUGAUUUACAGUAAUUUUUUAUCAGAUUGGUUGGUGUCCAGUAUGACCUAUAUCAAUGUUCAGAGUGGUUGGUGUCCAGUAUGACCUAUAUCAAUGUUCAGAGUGGUUG